CCUACGGGAGGCAGCAGUGGGGGAUAUUGCACAAUGGGGGAAACCCUGAUGCAGCGACGCCGCGUGAGUGAAGAAGUAUUUAGGUAUGUAAAGCUCUAUCAGCAGGGAAGAAAAUGACAGUACCUGACCAAGUAGCCACGGCUAACUACGAGCCAGCAGCGGCGGCAAUACGUAGGGGGCAAGCGUUAUCCGGAUUUACUGGGUUUAAAGGGGGCGUAGUAGGUUUUGUAAGUCCGGAGUGAAAGCCCGGGGCCCAACCGCGGGAGUGCAUUUGAAACUGUGUAACUGGAGUACAGGAGGGGCAGGCGGAAUUCGUGGUGUAGCGGUGAAAUGCGUAGAUAUCAGGAAGAACCCCGGCGGCGAAGGCAGCCUGCUGGACUGAAACUGACGUUGAGGCUCGAAAGCGUGGGGAGCAAACAGGAUUAGAUACCCUAGUAGUC
rnacentral:rRNA from 1 species